AAAUAUAGUGACAAAUUCACCGUUUAUCGAUUGUGUUGGUUUCAAGGUUCUUUCGAUUUUUUCAAUAUGGUUACAGGUAAAAUGUCGACGUCGAGCUUUAUCUACUACAAGCACACAUUUUUAAAAGAGCUGGGUUAUCUCUUUGUCUCUUUGAUCUCUUUGUCUGGCAGAACUUUUAAUGUGCAUAUAUAUCCCUUAAAAUAGCUUCAUUCUAACGUAACAGGGUGGCUAGUUGUGGAUGCUAAGUGGUUCAUGUUGAAAUUCAGAAAGCUUACUCUGGCUUAGCACAUAAAGAUCGGUCGCAUAAUAUAGAAUUCACCUCCAUCUUUAUACGUGAACCUUCAGAUUGUUCGAUUAGGCAUAUUCGAUGGCGUGAUUUUGUGUGUAUUAAAAAAAAAAACAGUGUAUCUCUCUUUGCCGAGUCGUACAAUUAUAACCGAGCAAUUCUAUGUGACAGUUUCGGUUAGCACCAUCUAAAAAAAAGAAAACGAAGCCGGUAGCUCUGCUGUUAACCGGUUAUUUUAGAUUAACAAAAUAAGACAUUCAUGUAAGAGAACGGACGGUCUAACGUUGCGUAACAAUGUAUCGACUUAAUUAGGAUCUUCCGUUCCACUAGCUGUUCGUUCUCACGUCGUCACUUUCUGUACCUCGGAUAGGGGGCGACCAACGCUCACGUUCUGCGCAGUAGCUGUGCGGUUCCAGAAUGAUCUGCAGCGGAACAAAGAAACUCCACCGGAUUGAUAUGCGUCUAGUUCAGGACUCUCAUUAAUUUUGCAUGGAGAAACUUGGAAGCCAAAAUUAAUUUCAGUUUUUUUUACGUAUAACAACGUGUAAUAUGCCCCAAUCGACUCGACAAUAGUUGUUUACUCCGGAGAAUUUAGCCGCAUCUUCACCCCCAAGGCGAGCACACGUAAUUUCAACAAGCUAUGGCUUCAUUUUUCUGAUAACGUCUUCGGCAACCGAAAUAGAAAGCGUUCACAUUUGCUGAGGGGCCGAUAGAUCGGCGAAAUGCAAAUACAGAAACCGCAUAUGAUAAAGGGAAACAGAAAUGGAUACAAGGCUCUUGUUAUUAUACUGUAAACAAGUCAAUCAAGUGCGCUUGCUCCUUUAUGCGACCGGUCACAGCGAGCGCAGACAGAAAUGUCAAUAACAUAAUCGUCGAACAGAAGAGUUAAUCACAAAAAAGUGUGUGCAAUAGCUGACGAUGAUGAUGAUAAUAAUGGUGAAGUACCUAACGAUGUCUUGAAAUCUACCAACAUCCACCGUCGAUUCAAGAUAUUGACCAUAGGAACAACACAGGUAGUGUACUGUAUGUACUAUUAGCCUUCACGUUCUAGCAAAUAUAGUUAGUAUCAGUGGCGAAUAUCGAAGUCAACCUAAUGUGUCCAUCUGUGCAUUCUAUUCCUUUGUGCUGUUGAUAUCGUCGAAUGGCAACGUUACCGAAGGACGCCGAUUUCACGUUUGCCACCGAGUUUAGUAUAAUACAGGCCUGGUGUACCACCAGGGCCAUAGCAAACCACAGCUAAAAUAGAUUGGCUAUAGCAUACAAAUCAAUUAGCCGUGUUACAUCAAAACGGCUGCUGGUGCUUUGGCGACCGCAGAGCGAACGAGGAACGAGUGCGUCGUUGAUGUUUUCUAUAUGGCACGAAGAAUAGGCUUCUGGCUGCCACCGCUAUUCAGACAUUGAGGAGCAGACGCUUAUAGGUGUGUGUAUAUAUACACAAUGCUCUCAUAGGUAAGUUUGAACGUGCAUACUUACCAGUUGUAUUACAUACCUAUAUCGCGCGUGCAGUCAACAAAUUAAUCCAGGUGUCACAAGGGCGGAUAAAAGAGAACGGGGAGAUUACCGGACGGAAUACUUCGAAAAGGGCAAGCUGUUUUAUGGCCAUUACACUAUAUGUACUUGUGAGGAGACCAAAGCAUUUCAGUGAGGUAAUUCUCAUGUUGAAAGCAAAUCAUCAGGCGAAAUAUCAUAUGGCCGCUGAGAGAAGAAUGAGGGCUGAUCAUAAACUUACUAGUGUUUCGCAUCUUUUCUUCAAAUGAACCAGCACAGGAAGGAACAGCUGUCUAACUAUCUAUAUAUAACUAACGAAAUUUGACUGCAUAGGUCAUUUCGUGCUUGACGAAUUUCGAAACGAUAGCCUCGAAAGCAGGAAACAACAACCUUCACCCACAGUCGACUGGCAUAUACACGGCGUAUACGGGGCAGAUUUGUA
rnacentral:lncRNA from 1 species